CAGCAGCCACGGUAAUACGUAGGGUGCAAGCGUUAAUCGGAAUUACUGGGCGUAAAGCGUGCGCAGGCGGUUCGUUAAGACAGAUGUGAAAUCCCCGGGCUUAACCUGGGAACUGCAUUUGUGACUGGCGGGCUAGAGUAUGGCAGAGGGGGGUAGAAUUCCACGUGUAGCAGUGAAAUGCGUAGAGAUGUGAAGGAAUACCGAUGGCGAAGGCAGCCCCCUGGGCCAAUACUGACGCCCAUGCACGAAAGCGUGGGGAGCAAACAGGAUUAGAUACCCGCGUAGUCCCUGUCUCUUAUAC
rnacentral:rRNA from 1 species